rnacentral:tRNA from 1 species
GCCGAUGUAGCUCAGUGGUAGAGCAACUGUUUUGNNGUAGGUCGUCGGUUCGAAUCCGACCAUCGGCU